UACGAAGGGGGGCUAGCGUUGCUCGGAAUCACUGGGCGUAAAGGGCACGUAGGCGUGAAUCGGGUUGAAAGUGAAAGUCGCCAAAAAAGUGGCGGAAUGCUCUCGAAACCAAUUCACUUGAGUGAGACAGAGGAGAGUGGAAUUUCGUGUGUAGGGGUGAAAUCCGUAAAUAUACGAAGGAACGCCAAAAGCGAAGGACAGCUCUCUGGGUCCCUACCGACGCUGGGGUGCGAAAGCAUGGGAGCGAACAGG
rnacentral:rRNA from 1 species